UUCAGACUGCAGGCUGCAACUCGCCUGCACGAAGUCGGAAUUGCUAGUAAUCGUAGGUCAGCAUACUACGGUGAAUACGUUCCCGGGCCUUGUACACACCGCCCGUCAAACCAUGAGAGUUGGCAACACCCGAAGUCGGUAGUCUAACCGCAAGGAGGACGCCGCCGAAGGUGGGGUUGAUGAUUAGGGUUAAGUCGUAACAAGGUAGC
rnacentral:rRNA from 1 species